GUGCCAGCAGCCGCGGUAAUACGUAGGUGGCGAGCGUUGUCCGUAAUCAUUGGGCGUAAAGGGAGCGCAGGCGGGCAUGUAAGUCUUUCUUAAAAGUGCGGGGCUCAACCCCGUGAUGGGAAAGGAACUACAUGUCUUGAGUACAGGAGAGGAAAGCGGAAUUCCCAGUGUAGCGGUGAAAUGCGUAGAUAUUGGGAGGAACACCAGUGGCGAAGGCGGCUUUCUGGACUGCAACUGACGCUGAGGCUCGAAAGCCAGGGGAGCGAACGGGAUUAGAUACCCCGGUAGUCCUGGCCGUAAACGAUGGAUACUAGGUGUGGGAGGUAUCGACCCCUACCGUGCCGGAGUUAACGCAAUAAGUAUCCCGCCUGGGGAGUACGGUCGCAAGACUGAAACUCAAAUAAAUUGACGG
rnacentral:rRNA from 1 species